UGCCCCCCUGGCAAUGUGCAAAGAGACACCGUGUCAUUGUUGUUGUUGCUCUUAUAUCAAUCAGGGGCAGAGAAGGUGUCAGUCCUUUGUUCACACUAGCUUGAUGCCUGGUUUGGUAGAUCAAGCUAUCCUAUGCCUAGGACACACAC